CUUUCUUUGCUGGCGACCGGCGCACGGGUGAGUAACACGUAUCCAACCUGCCCUUUACUCGGGGAUAGCCUUUCGAAAGAAAGAUUAAUACCCGAUAGCAUAAUGAUUCCGCAUGGUUUCAUUAUUAAAGGAUUCCGGUAAAGGAUGGGGAUGCGUUCCAUUAGGUUGUUGGUGAGGUAACGGCCCACCAAGCCUUCGAUGGAUAGGGGUUCUGAGAGGAAGGCCCCCCACAUUGGAACUGAGACACGGUCCAG
rnacentral:rRNA from 1 species